CACGGACCAAGGAGUCUAGAAUGCGCGCGAGUCAAAGGGUUGGCUAAACCCCAAGGCGAAACGAAAGUGAUUUUUCGAAAGAGGGCCGAUCCGGUUCGCGGGGAGUUGUUAAGGGCGGAUGUUGGGGGUUGAGGAUUCUCUAGUUCUUCUUCUGCUCGCUCUCCGGGUGCUGCGGCGCUCGUCGUCGUAGUAUUCGGGCGGCGGCGGUGGGAGGGUUAGGUUUUUUUUUCUCCCUCUCUUCCUUAAUUCGCUCUCCCCGCGAUUCGUCUCCCUAAUAUGAGGACGGCGCAGGCCCGGGGCUCGCCAAUGCUUCCUCCCCGCCGUUAAGGCUCGGUCGUUCGUUUUCUCGUCGGUCGGGGCGCGGUGAGGCUUUCGCUGGGGCCUCCUUCUCCGUUCGGGUAGUUCGCGCUAUUCGACGGAGGGGUGUUUACCUCACGAGAGUUUUUUUUAUCGCGUCUUUCGCGUCGACGAGGCGGCGGCUAGCUGGCGUUGGGACGGGCGGCGGGUUCUCCGAGCGCGUAUUCUGGUACCCGAAAGAUGGUGAUCUAUGCCUGGCCAGGAUGAAGCCAGAGGAAACUCUGGUGGAGGUCCGUAGCGAUUCUGACGUGCAAAUCGAUCGUCGGAGCUGG
rnacentral:rRNA from 1 species